rnacentral:rRNA from 1 species
GACGAACGCUAGCUACAGGCUUAACACAUGCAAGUCGAGGGACCGGCGCCCGGGUGCGUAACACGUAUCCAACCUGCCCUUUACCCGGGGCUAGCCUUUCGAAAGAAAAAUUAAUACCCGAUACAAAGGAUGGGUAUGCGUUCCAUUAGGUGGUUGGUGAGGUAACGGCUCACCAAGCCUUCGAUGGAUAGGGGUUCUGAGAGGAAGGUCCCCCACAUUGGAACUGAGACACGGUCCAAACUCCUACGGGAGGCAGCAGUGAGGAAUAUUGGUCAAUGGGCGCUAGCCGGAACCAGCCAAGUAGCGUGAAGGAUGAAGGCUUAUGGGUCGUAAACUUCUUUUAUAGAAGAAUAGGUAUUAUAUGAAUAAGGAUCGGCUAACUCCGUGCCAGCAGCCGCGGUAAUAC